rnacentral:rRNA from 1 species
UUAAAGAGUUCUAUAACUCCCAAACCCAUGUGAACAUACCUAACGUUGCCUCGGCAGGUCGCACCUACCUUGUAGCACCCUACCCUGUAGGGCCUACCCGGGAGGUGCGGGUAAGCCUGCCGGCGGCCCACCAAACUCUGUUUGAUAUUGAAUUCUGAACCUAUAACUAAAUAAGUUAAAACUUUCAACAACGGAUCUCUUGGUUCUGGCAUCGAUGAAGAACGCAGCGAAAUGCGAUAAGUAAUGUGAAUUGCAGAAUUCAGUGAAUCAUCGAAUCUUUGAACGCAUAUUGCGCCCAUUAGUAUUCUAGUGGGCAGGACCGUUCGAGCGUCAUUUCAACCCUUAAGCCUUCGUUGCUUAGUGUUGGGAGCCUACGGCAACGUAGCUCCUCAAAGUUAGUGGCGGAGUUGGUUCACACUCUAGACGUAGUAAUUUUUUAUCUCGCCUAUUAGUUGGACUAAUCCCCUGCCGUAAAACCCCCAAUUUAUCAAGGUUGACCUCGAAUCGGUUCAGACAAACUCGCUAAAUUGAAGCAUCUUAGUCAGCGAAGGAAAAGAAACCAACAG